rnacentral:piRNA from 1 species
AUGUCUUGCUCUCUUAGUUUGAAG